ACAUAAAGUUUUAAGUACGUAUUAAUAAUGAUAAUAUGUAUACUAGCUCUUGACCAAUUACGUGCCAGCAGUCGCGGUAAUACGUAGGAGACGAGCAUUAUUCAUAUUAAAUAGGUUUAAAGGGUACCCAGACGGUCAAAAUACCUUAACUAAUAAGGAGUACUUGACUAGAGUUAUAUGUGAGAAGACCGUACUUGAGGUGGAGAGAUUAUAUUCUGUGAUACCAAGGGGACUGAUAAAGGCGAAAGCUGUCUUUUAUGUAAUAACUGACGCUUGGAGGACGAAGGCAUAGAACACGAACAGGAUUUGACACCCUAGUAGUCUUUGCAGACAAUGAUGAAUGCCAUGGACUAGUCGCUAAAUAAACUACUCUUCCUAGAUUGUUACACAAUCUAGGAUGCGAGUUUAGUUUAAGCAGAAUUAGUCUAUAAAUGAAAAUGAAAGCAUUUCACCUCAAGAGUAAUGUGGCAACGCAGGAACUGAAAUCACUAGACCGUUUCUGACACCAGUAGUGAAGUAUGUUAUUUAAU
rnacentral:rRNA from 1 species